AUUGAACGCUGGCGGCAUGCCUAACACAUGCAAGUCGAACGGCAGCACAGUAAAGAUUUCGGUCUUUAUGGGUGGCGAGUGGCGGACGGGUGAGUAAUGCGUAGGAAUCUGUCCUGGAGAGUAGGAUAACCCGAGGAAACUCGGACUAAUACUGCAUGAUAUCGAGAGAUCAAAGGCAGGGGACCCUUCGGGGCCUUGCGCUCUAGGAUGAGCCUACGUCGGAUUAGCUAGUUGGUGGGGUAAAGGCCUACCAAGGCGACGAUCCGUAGCUGGUCUGAGAGGAUGACCAGCCACACUGGGACUGAGACACGGCCCAGACUCCUACGGGAGGCAGCAGUGGGGAAUCUUGGACAAUGGGGGAAACCCUGAUCCAGCGAUGCCGCGUGUGUGAAGAAGGCCUUCGGGUUGUAAAGCACUUUAGUUGGGGAAGAAAAGUAAUGAGUGAAUAACUGAUUGCUCUGACGGUACCCAAAGAAUAAGCACCGGCUAACUCUGUGCCAGCCGCCGCUGUAA
rnacentral:rRNA from 1 species